ACUCCUACGGGAGGCAGCAGUGGGGAAUAUUGCACAAUGGGCGCAAGCCUGAUGCAGCCAUGCCGCGUGUAUGAAGAAGGCCUUCGGGUUGUAAAGUACUUUCAGCAGUGAGGAAGGUAGUGUAGUUAAUAGCUGCAUUAUUUGACGUUAGCUGCAGAAGAAGCACCGGCUAACUCCGUGCCAGCAGCCGCGGUAAUACGGAGGGUGCGAGCGUUAAUCGGAAUUACUGGGCGUAAAGCGCAUGCAGGUGGUUUGUUAAGUCAGAUGUGAAAGCCC
rnacentral:rRNA from 1 species